rnacentral:lncRNA from 1 species
UCUCUCUUAGGCAUUGUGGAGUGCGUCCGAGCGCUGCCGCUGGCCUGUGUACUGCACGAGCUCGGAGCCGGACGCAGCCGAGCAGGGCAGCCGAUCAGACCGGGAGUGGGUGCCGAACUACUGGUCGACGUGGGCCAAUGGUUGUCCCGCGGUAAGCGCUGUCUGGAACCCUUAACAACCCUUCCGGACGUCCGCUGUGACCUAGGUAACCGCCUCCGUCGCCCGUGCAGGGACACCCUGGCUCCGCGUGCACCUGGACGGCCCCGCGCUCAGCAGUCAGCAGCGCCGCACUCUUCUGGGGGCUCUCGUGCUGUCAGAUCGAGCACCCUUCAAGGCCCCUUCACCCUUCGCUGAGCUUGUCCUCCCACCGACCACCCCAUAGCCCUAAAUCUCCAACCCAUCGCUGCCAGUGAGUUCUCCAACAAGGGAUGGGACUGGAGCUUCAGGUCCAUGAUGCUACUGGCUCUAGGGCCCAAAGCUUGGCCCAAGCUCUCUCAGUUCAAACCCCUUCUCAGGAUCUCAAGGGGUGAAACUCUGCACAUAAAUUCCCGGCAUUGGUCGGGGCAAGGCCAAGGCCAACACCAAGGCCCUGGGCUAAGGACUAGACUGUUGAUCACUGCCCUGUUUGGGGCUGGGCUAGGCUGGGCCUGGCUGGCCGCUAGAGCUGAGAAGGAACAGUGGCGCCAACAACAGCGGACAGAGGCCCUGCGCCAGGCUGCUGUGGGCCAGGGUGACUUCAGCCUACUGGACCACAAAGGCCAGCCUCG